GGGGGCUCCGCGGCGGCGGUAGCGGCCGGGUGUGUUCCUUUCGCGCUCGGAUCCGACACCGGCGGUUCAAACCGCCUGCCCGCC
rnacentral:tRNA from 1 species